rnacentral:lncRNA from 1 species
ACACAUUUCAACUUUUUUCUUAAAAAAAAAACCUAAAGUUUUAAGACUCUUCUAUUUCAUUUUCUCCUCUUUUCCUCUUCUUCGACAGACCAAAGAGAAACGGCUCCACCACCAUUUUGAGCCAAACUUCGACAUCAAAGGUUUCUCUUGCGCCGCGUCAGUGAGUUCCCCUCCCCUUUCUUUUUAUAUUUUCGUAAGUGGAUCCGAAUGAAAACGAAAAAAUAUGAAAAAAGAAGAAACAACACAAAAAAAAAACUGCAAUAAAUAUUCACCUUUGAAAAUAUUCUUUGGUCCCUUUCUACUGAUUUUUGAGUGUAUUUUAUAUUACAACUUGUAUUCCCUUUCUCUAAAAAAAAAACCCCAACAAAUAAAAAUUCGUGGCCUUUUAUAGCCAACUUUACAACGGUUUCUUUGCUUCUACUAGUUGCAGGUAUGGUGAACGUGGGGCCUAGGUCGUGCUACAUGCGAGUUGGCUAGACGUGCGAGGUGAGCCGACUCGCGUGGUGGGGAGCAGCAGCUAUUCUCUUUUUUGCUGAAAAGUUAGUUUAGCUUUGGGCUGUUUGGCCUCUAGAGUUAGGUUAAUUAGGUUUGUUGUUUUUGUAAUUUUGAACUUUUUUUUGGAUUUUUAUGUGGGUUUUAUUUAUUUUGGGUUUAUUAUUUAGUGUAAUUGGGCUGGCUAUUAUUUGUAAAUGGACUUAUUCAAUAUUUUGUUUUAUUUUUUUGGUUUUUGUAUGUGUAUGGGUCCGGGCUAAAAAUUAGGACUACAACUAGCAUUGUCAUUAAACACUAACAAUUAGCAUCAAUCAAAGGGCCUAUUUGAUUAAUUUUGUUAAUUCAAGGACUCAAUCUUCUUACCCUGUAACAUCUCUUCCCUCUGCAAAAGACCAUUGAAGCCAUUGUGGAUAGUGGUGAAAGCUGAAGCAACGAUCAAGGCUAUUGAAGUUGCAAAAGAUUUGAGAUUUAAAAUUCUAUUGUGAUCCAAUGAAAUGCUAUUGGAGUUGUUAAACAACUGAGUUCAAAGUCAUGUGAAAACUCAUAGAAGAUGCAACUAUAUUGUUGCCAUCAAAUUUGAGGAGAGUUGCUGAAGAAGACAACAUAUUUCACUUUUUGUUGCUCAUAAUAUUUGGUAUUAGAGGUGUAUUGUUUCACUUCUGUACUAAAGCUUGUAUUGGCCUUUCCGGUUUGUAUCACCACUUAUGGCAAUAAAUACAAUGUUUUUUUUUUCUAAAUUACUUAUUUGAUUUUUUUAAUCAUUUUUUAAUGCCCUCUCUA